GCCCAGAUAGCUCAGUUGGUAGAGCACAUCCUUGGUAAGGAUGAGGUCACGAGUUCGAGUCUCGUUCUGGGCU
rnacentral:tRNA from 3 species